AUGGUUAAGUUAGAAAGGGCGCACGGUGAAUGCCUUGGCACUAGGAGCCGAUGAAGGACGGGACUAACACCGAUAUGCUUCGGGGAGCUGUAAGUGAGCUUUGAUCCGGAGAUUUCCGAAUGGGGAAACCCACUGUUCGUAAUGGAACAGUAUCUUUAUCUGAAUACAUAGGAUAUUGAAGGCAGACCCGGGGAACUGAAACAUCUAAGUACCCGGAGGAAGAGAAAGCAAAUGCGAUUUCCUGAGUAGCGGCGAGCGAAACGGAAUUAGCCCAAACCAAGAGGCUUGCCUCUUGGGGUUGUAGGACACUCUAUACGGAGUUACAAAGGAACGAAGUAAAUGAAGCGACCUGGAAAGGUCCGUCGAAGAAGGUAACAACCCUGUAGUUGAAACUUCGUUCCCUCUUGAGUGGAUCCUGAGUACGGCGGAACACGUGAAAUUCCGUCGGAAGCUGGGAGGACCAUCUCCCAAGGCUAAAUACUACCUAGUGACCGAUAGUGAACCAGUACCGUGAGGGAAAGGUGAAAAGCACCCCGGAAGGGGGAGUGAAAGAGAUCCUGAAACCGUGUGCCUACAAGUAGUCAGAGCCCGUUAACGGGUGAUGGCGUGCCUUUGUAGAAUGAACCGGCGAGUUACGAUCCCAUGCAAGGUUAAGCUGAUAAGGCGGAGCCGUAGCGAAAGCGAGUCUGAAUAGGGCGUUUAGUAUGUGGUUGUAGACCCGAAACCAGGUGAUCUACCCAUGUCCAGGGUGAAGUUCAGGUAACACUGAAUGGAGGCCCGAACCCACGCACGUUGAAAAGUGCGGGGAUGAGGUGUGGGUAGCGGAGAAAUUCCAAUCGAACCUGGAGAUAGCUGGUUCUCUCCGAAAUAGCUUUAGGGCUAGCCUCAUGUUGUGAGAGUCUUGGAGGUAGAGCACUGAUUGGACUAGGGGCCCCCAACGGGUUACCGAAUUCAGUCAAACUCCGAAUGCCAAAGACUUAUCCAUGGGAGUCAGACUGCGAGUGAUAAGAUCCGUAGUCAAAAGGGAAACAGCCCAGACCACCAGCUAAGGUCCCCAAGUAUACGUUAAGUGGAAAAGGAUGUGGAGUUGCUUAGACAACCAGGAUGUUGGCUUAGAAGCAGCCACCAUUUAAAGAGUGCGUAAUAGCUCACUGGUCGAGUGACUCUGCGCCGAAAAUGUACCGGGGCUAAACGUAUCACCGAAGCUGUGGAUUGACAUCUUUGAUGUCAGUGGUAGGAGAGCGUUCUAAGUGCAGCGAAGUCAGACCGUAAGGACUGGUGGAGCGCUUAGAAGUGAGAAUGCCGGUAUGAGUAGCGAAAGACAAGUGAGAAUCUUGUCCACCGAAUGCCUAAGGUUUCCUGAGGAAGGCUCGUCCGCUCAGGGUUAGUCGGGACCUAAGCCGAGGCUGAAAAGCGUAGGCGAUGGCCAACAGGUUGAUAUUCCUGUACCACCUCCCCGCCGUUUGAGUAAUGGGGGGACGCAGUAGGAUAGGGUAAGCGCGCUGCUGGAUAUGCGCGUUCAAGCAGUUAGGCUGAUGAGUAGGCAAAUCCGCUCAUCAUAAAGGCUGAGCUGUGAUGACGAGGGAAUUAUAGUACCGAAGUUCCUGAUUCCACACUGCCAAGAAAAGCCUCUAGCGAGGCGGGAGGUGCCCGUACCGCAAACCGACACAGGUAGGCGAGGAGAGAAUCCUAAGGUGAUCGAGAGAACUCUCGUUAAGGAACUCGGCAAAAUGACCCCGUAACUUCGGGAGAAGGGGUGCUCUGGUAGGGUGUAUAGCCCGAGAGAGCCGCAGUGAAUAGGCCCAGGCGACUGUUUAGCAAAAACACAGGUCUCUGCGAAGCCGCAAGGCGAAGUAUAGGGGCUGACGCCUGCCCGGUGCUGGAAGGUUAAGAGGAGGGGUUAUCCUUUUGGAGAAGCUCUGAAUCGAAGCCCCAGUAAACGGCGGCCGUAACUAUAACGGUCCUAAGGUAGCGAAAUUCCUUGUCGGGUAAGUUCCGACCCGCACGAAAGGCGUAACGAUCUGGGCACUGUCUCAACGAGAGACUCGGUGAAAUUAUAGUACCUGUGAAGAUGCAGGUUACCCGCGACAGGACGGAAAGACCCCGUGGAGCUUUACUGUAGCCUGAUAUUGAAUUUUGGUACAGCUUGUACAGGAUAGGUAGGAGCCUGAGAAGCCGGAGCGCUAGCUUCGGUGGAGGCGUCGGUGGGAUACUACCCUGGCUGUAUUGAAAUUCUAACCCGCGGCCCUGAUCGGGCCGGGAGACAGUGUCAGGUGGGCAGUUUGACUGGGGCGGUCGCCUCCUAAAAUGUAACGGAGGCGCCCAAAGGUUCCCUCAGAAUGGUUGGAAAUCAUUCGUAGAGUGUAAAGGCACAAGGGAGCUUGACUGCGAGACCUACAAGUCGAGCAGGGACGAAAGUCGGGCUUAGUGAUCCGGUGGUUCCGCAUGGAAGGGCCAUCGCUCAACGGAUAAAAGCUACCCCGGGGAUAACAGGCUUAUCUCCCCCAAGAGUCCACAUCGACGGGGAGGUUUGGCACCUCGAUGUCGGCUCAUCGCAUCCUGGGGCUGUAGUCGGUCCCAAGGGUUGGGCUGUUCGCCCAUUAAAGCGGUACGCGAGCUGGGUUCAGAACGUCGUGAGACAGUUCGGUCCCUAUCCGUCGUGGGCGUAGGAAAUUUGAGAGGAGCUGUCCUUAGUACGAGAGGACCGGGAUGGACACACCGCUGGUGUACCAGUUGUCUUGCCAAAGGCAUCGCUGGGUAGCUAUGUGUGGACGGGAUAAGUGCUGAAAGCAUCUAAGCAUGAAGCCCCCCUCAAGAUGAGAUUUCCCAUAGCGCAAGCUAGUAAGAUCCCUGAAAGAUGAUCAGGUUGAUAGGUCAGAGGUGGAAGCGUGGCGACAUGUGUAGCUGACUGAUACUAAUCGAUCGAGGACUUAACCAAA
rnacentral:rRNA from 1 species